GCCUUCGUGGUGUAGUGGUCACACACUCAGCGCGUAUUUGAGAAGUCCGUGGUUCGAAUCCCGGCGAGGGCA
rnacentral:tRNA from 1 species